rnacentral:misc_RNA from 1 species
UACGGAGGAUCCAAGCGUUAUCCGGAAUCAUUGGGUUUAAAGGGUGCGUAGGUGGCUUGUUAAGUCAGUGGUGAAAGUCUGCAGCUCAGCUGUAGAAUUGCCAUUGAUACUGUUAACCUUGAGUAAUUAUGAAGGGGUUAGAAUAUGUAGUGUGGCGGUGAAAUGCAUAGAUAUUACAUAGAAUACCGAUUGCGAAGGCAGAUCACUAAUAAUUUACUGACGCUGAGGGACGAAAGCGUAGGUAGCGAACAGG